UACGUAGGGUGCGAGCGUUAAUCGGAAUUACUGGGCGUAAAGCGUGCGCAGGCGGUUGAUUAAGUCUGAUGUGAAAGCCCCGGGCUCAACCUGGGAAUGGCAUUGGAAACUGGUCAGCUGGAGUGUGGCAGAGGCGAGUGGAAUUCCCGGUGUAGCGGUGAAAUGCGCAGAUAUCGGGAGGAACGACCGGUGGCGAAGGCGGUUCUCUGGGCCUUACCUGACGCUGAGGAGCGAAAGCGUGGGGAGCGAACAGG
rnacentral:rRNA from 1 species